rnacentral:lncRNA from 1 species
GCCAAGGACAAAUCAAAAUCAGAGGAGGAAGACAUUGAUUCUAGGUUUACACAAAUAAUUAUGAAAAACCUAAUUUUGCCGAUCUUCCCGAAGAACUUGAUUCGCCGUCUUGAUUCUUCCAUCGAUUUUGAGCUCCUUGAAUUUGCCUUAAAGUUUCUCUCAAAUCUCUGUAUUUUGCUCUCAAUAUCGUCCGGAAAAGUCUGUCCAAUUAUGAGGAAGAUCUGGGCUUUUAUAGAGAUGGUUCUUUAAGUUAGACGGAUGUCCAUUACGAUUCCUUAAGUUAAACGGUUGUUCAUUACUGCGCCAUACGUGGGCCAAAAGUGCGAAGCACUUUUGGUCAAAUUUUUAGAGACCUCUGACUUUGAGGGUCCAAAACUGCGUUGUAAAUGGACCAAAAGUGCGGCGCACAUUUGGUCCGUCUCCCGCACUUGGGGAUUCCCCAUUCUUUGAUGCAUCCGAUUCCUUCUUGCAUAUCAUAUAGC